UUCAGGGUUAAGUGUAAGUCGCUCUGGAUAAGAGCGUCUGCUAAAUGACUUAAA
rfam:Salmo salar isolate Sally breed double haploid chromosome ssa20, whole genome shotgun sequence.